GAUGAACGCUAGCGGCAGGCCUAAUACAUGCAAGUCGAACGGACCGCAAGGUCAGUGGCGAACGGGUGCGUAACGCGUAAACAAUCUGCCCCGAUUUGGGGGAUAGCCCGGCGAAAGCUGGGGUAAACCCGCGUAGUUUCAGCGGGUGGCAUCAUUUUCUGAAUAAACAUUUAUGGAAUCGGGAGGGGUUUGCGUCUGAUUAGCUGGAUGGCGGGGUAACGGCCCACCAUGGCGAUGAUCAGUAGGGGCUCUGAGAGGAGGGUCCCCCACAUGGGCACUGAGACACGGGCCCAACUCCUACGGGAGGCAGCAGUAGGGAAGAUUGGUCAAUGGACGGAAGUUUGAACCAGCCAUGCCGCGGGCAGGAAGAAGGCGCUCAGCGUUGUAAACUGCUUUUGAGAGGGAAGAAAGUGCAGGAUGCGUCCUGUUUUGCCGGUACCUUUCGAAUAAGCACCGGCUAACUCCGUGCCAGCCGCCGCCGUAAAAC
rnacentral:rRNA from 1 species